rnacentral:tRNA from 2 species
GGAGGAGUGUCCGAGCGGCCGAAGGAGCACGCCUGGAAAGUGUGUGUACGCUAACCCCGUACCGUGGGUUCGAAUCCCACCUCCUCCG